ACCUGGUUGAUCCUGCCAGUAGUCAUAUGCUUGUCUCAAAGAUUAAGCCAUGCAUGUCUAAGUAUAAUAGCUUGUACUGUGAAACUGCGAAUGGCUCAUUAAAUCAGUUAUAGUUUAUUUGAUAGUGUUUACUACAUGGAUACCCGUGGUAAUUCUAGAGCUAAUACAUGCUAAAAACCCCGACUUCGGAAGGGGUGUAUUUAUUAGAUAAAAAUCAACACUGUUGGUGAAUCAUGAUAACUUCUCGGAUCGCAUGGCCUCGUGCUGGCGAUACUUCAUUCAAAUA
rnacentral:rRNA from 1 species